AGUGAACGCUGGCGGUAGGCCUAACACAUGCAAGUCGAACGGCAGCACAGUAAGAGCUUGCUCUUACGGGUGGCGAGUGGCGGACGGGUGAGGAAUACAUCGGAAUCUACUUUUUCGUGGGGGAUAACGUAGGGAAACUUACGCUAAUACCGCAUACGACCACGGGUGAAAGCAGGGGAUCUUCGGACCUUGCGCGAAUGAAUGAGCCGAUGUCGGAUUAGCUAGUUGGCGGGGUAAAGGCCCACCAAGGCGACGAUCCGUAGCUGGUCUGAGAGGAUGAUCAGCCACACUGGAACUGAGACACGGUCCAGACUCCUACGGGAGGCAGCAGUGGGGAAUAUUGGACAAUGGGCGCAAGCCUGAUCCAGCCAUACCGCGUGGGUGAAGAAGGCCUUCGGGUUGUAAAGCCCUUUUGUUGGGAAAGAAAAGCAGCAGGUUAAUACCCCGCUGUUCUGACGGUACCCAAAGAAUAAGCACCGGCUAACUUCGUG
rnacentral:rRNA from 1 species